rnacentral:tRNA from 1 species
UGCCCUUUAGCUCAGACGGUCAGAGCAGCCGGCUCAUAAUCGGCAGGUCCCGUGUUCGAUGCACGGAAGGGCGACCA